AUGGCGGUGCUCCUCCUCGUCGGUCCUAACCUGGUGGUGAUCAAGAAGCGCCUAAGCCAUGGCCAAAUUUUGCCAGCUUUCUCGACUACUUCGUGGCACGUUUACAUCGUGCACGAUGAUCCUCUAUCAAAUUGCUUCCGUGGAACAUCUAUCCUGGGUCCUACCAAGCUUAUGACAUUAUCUAGGGGCAUGAAGUCAUUGUUAGCCGUGUGGAAGGAGAAUUUACGAGUAAGAGAAGGAGGGACAAAGGCUUUCAUGCUCUCUGGCAGUUCUUCGACGGUGACGGUUGGGGGCGACCAAGUGAUGGUUUCCAGCAUCGAGGUUGGGGUCAGCCUCAGGGUCGCCGUCUUGCCCUUUGGGGUGACGAGGGGAACUCUAUCCCAGACAAACGUGAGCAUGAAGAGCUCAUCAUUACACAACCCACGGGGUACCAUUUGCAAAGCUUUCCCCAAAUGCACGAAGAGCUACUCGCGGCUGAGGCUGCAACACAACAACGGUGCCGCCGACAAAUUCAAAGGGCAUAAUAUGGAGCCAAAGUACACCCUGCUCGUCGACGGUUUUGGAAUAGCGCCGACCAAAGAGAUCACGCUGGUGGAGAAGGUGAAGCACGGGGAGUACUUGAUCAAGCCGGCGUAG
rnacentral:rRNA from 1 species